UACUCCUACGGGAGGCAGCAGUAGGGAAUCUUCCACAAUGGACGCAAGUCUGAUGGAGCAACGCCGCGUGAGUGAAGAAGGCUUUCGGGUCGUAAAACUCUGUUGUUGGAGAAGAAUGGUCGGCAGAGUAACUGUUGUCGGCGUGACGGUAUCCAACCAGAAAGCCACGGCUAACUACGUGCCAGCAGCCGCGGUAAUACGUAGGUGGCAAGCGUUAUCCGGAUUUAUUGGGCGUAAAGCGAGCGCAGGCGGUUUUUUAAGUCUGAUGUGAAAGCCCUCGGCUUAACCGAGGAAGUGCAUCGGAAACUGGGAAACUUGAGUGCAGAAGAGGACAGUGGAACCCCAUGUGUAGCGGUGAAAUGCGUAGAUAUAUGGAAGAACACCAGUGGCGAAGGCGGCUGUCUGGUCUGUAACUGACGCUGAGGCUCGAAAGCAUGGGUAGCGAACAGGAUUAGAUACCCUGGUAGUCCAUGCCGUAAACGAUGAAUGCUAGGUGUUGGAGGGUUUCCGCCCUUCAGUGCCGCAGCUAACGCAUUAAGCAUUCCGCCUGGGGAGUACGACCGCAAGGUUGAAACUCAAAUGAAUUGACGGA
rnacentral:rRNA from 1 species